rnacentral:rRNA from 1 species
UAACGCGUGAGGAACCUGCCUCAAAGAGGGGGACAACAGUUGGAAACGACUGCUAAUACCGCAUAAGCCCACGGCUCGGCAUCGAGCAGAGGGAAAAGGAGUGAUCCGCUUUGAGAUGGCCUCGCGUCCGAUUAGCUAGUUGAUGAGGUAACGGCCCACCAAGGCGACGAUCGGUAGCCGGACUGAGAGGUUGAACGGCCACAUUGGGACUGAGACACGGCCCAG